rnacentral:rRNA from 1 species
UACGUAGGGGGCAAGCGUUGUCCGGAUUUAUUGGGCGUAAAGAGCGUGUAGGCGGCCAAGCAGGUCCGCCGUGAAAACUCGAGGCUCAACCUCGAGACGUCGGUGGAAACCGUUUGGCUAGAGUCCGGAAGAGGAGAGUGGAAUUCCCGGUGUAGCGGUGAAAUGCGCAGAUAUCGGGAAGAACACCCGUGGCGAAGGCGGCUCUCUGGGACGGUACUGACGCUGAGACGCGAAAGCGUGGGGAGCGAACAGG